CCUACGGGAGGCUGCAGUAGGGAAUAUUGCUCAAUGGGGGAAACCCUGAAGCAGCAACGCCGCGUGGAGGAUGAAGGUUUUCGGAUUGUACACUCCUUUUGUUAGAGAAGAUAAUGACGGUAUCUAACGAAUAAGCACCGGCUAACUCCGUGCCAGCAGCCGCGGUCAUACGGAGGGUGCAAGCGUUACUCGGAAUCACUGGGCGUAAAGAGCGCGUAGGCGGGAUAGCAAGUCAGAUGUGAAAUCCUAUGGCUUAACCAUAGAACUGCAUUUGAAACUGUUAUUCUAGAGUAUGGGAGAGGUAGGGGGAAUUCUUGGUGUAGGGGUAAAAUCCGUAGAGAUCAAGAGGAAUACUCAUUGCGAAGGCGACCUGCUAGAACAUAACUGACGCUGAUGCGCGAAAGCGUGGGGAGCAAACAGGAUGAGAUACCCCAGUAGUC
rnacentral:rRNA from 1 species